rnacentral:rRNA from 1 species
CCUACGGGUGGCAGCAGUGGGGAAUAUUGCACAAUGGGGGAAACCCUGAUGCAGCGACGCCGCGUGAGCGAUGACGUAUUUCGGUAUGUAAAGCUCUAUCAGCAGGGAAGCAAAUGACGGCACCUGACUCAGAAGCCCCGGCUCACUACGUGGCAGCAGCCGCGGUCAUACGUAGGGGGCAAGCGUUAUCCGGAUUUACUGGGUGUAAAGGGAGCGUAGACGGCGGUGCAAGCCAGAUGUGAAAGCCCGGGGCUCAACCCCGGGACUGCAUUUGAAACUGUGCUGCUAGAGUGUGGGAGAGGCAUGCGGAAUUCCUGGUGUAGCGGUGAAAUGCGUAGAUAUUAGGAGGAACACCAGUGGCGAAGGCGGCCUGCUGGACGAUGACUGACGUUGAGGCACGAAAGCGUGGGGAGCAAACAGGAUUAGAUACCCGGGUAGUC